UUCGCAGCCCUCACAACCUAACCUCUGAAACUCCUCCCCUUCUCCAUUGCGCAGCUGCGCCGCUUUCCAACUUCCAGGUGCCGCGCCGCUUUCCAACUUCUCUACCGGCUGCUGCCAGCCUGCCCCUGUCGACGCCGUCGCCGGCAAUCUCUCUCCGUCGACAGCAAUCUCUCUCCGGUGCGUCGUCUCUCUCCGGUGCGACGUCUUUUUCUUUAAUUUCAUGUUGGUUUUAAAAAUAUAAGUUUGUAGCUUCCGCAGCAAUGCUAAGGAAAUCGGAUUUAUUAAAUAUCGUUGAACUGUGUUGCCAUCGACUUUGCAGAGAGGGUGCUGUGAUUUAUUUAGUUGUAGGCUUGUAGCCAUUUAUUUUUAAUGGAUUUAGUUGAAAUGAUUUUUAUUCAGCAUGUUUAGACGCACAUUUGAUGAUAAAUCUUAAGAUUUUGUUUUUAUUGGUUUGUUAAAAAAAUAAAAAUAUAAGUUUGUUCUUCUUUGAAAUUAAAAAUGGGAACUGCAACAUGUUUAAAUCAAUUGAUCCUUUUUGUUUGUUCUUUGUUUUUCUCUAUUGAUGUCUAAAUCAGUAGUAUUCACAUUGUAAUGUUCCUUUGGUAUGAGAAUUGUAAUUUGAUUGGUGAUUUGCCUCAUAUAUUUGUUGGUAUUAAUGCGUUUAUAUAUUGACUGAAAUGUAUAUAUUUUUUAUUCACAGGAAGUAGCUGAAAAUGAAACGAUAUUAUAAUCACAUAGUUACUACAAGUGGGGCGGGUUCAUCUUCAACGAUUAAUGGUCCUAAUGCACGUGUGGAACCUGAAGCAUCACCAAAAGAAGUGAAUAUUGAAGUUGAUCUUCAGCUUGAGCCAUCUUCGAAAGUGGUUGAUUUGUUAGAUGGUAUGUUGGGGCAAAUGGUACCGAUGAUUCACAAAAAUCUGAAGCUAUGGAUUUGUUAGAUGUUAUUAGUCGAUUUGAGUUUGUCUUUGUGUUACAUCUGAUGAAGAAAAUUUUGG
rnacentral:lncRNA from 1 species